rnacentral:rRNA from 1 species
UACGAAGGGGGGCUAGCGUUGCUCGGAAUCACUGGGCGUAAAGCGCACGUAGGCGGAUUGCUAAGUCAGGGGUGAAAAUCCCAGGGCUCAACCCUGGGGACUGCCUUUGAUACUGACGAUCUGGAGAUCGGGAGAGGUUGGUGGAAUUCCGAGUGUAGAGGUGAAAUUCGUAGAUAUUCGGAGGAACACCAGAAGCGAAGGCGGCCAACUGGCCCGAUACUGACGCUGAGGCGCGAAAGCGUGGGGGAGCAAACAGG